GUCCUAUCAGACUUUGUUUGUAAACCUCAAAAUGCUGUCUCUGACUUCACAUGUAAUACUCCCCAUGGUGUCUCUGACUUUGUGUGUAACACUCCCUUGGCGUCUGUGACACCAUGAGUAACACUACAUGUGGCAUCUCUAACUUCAUGAAUCACACACUCCCUGGUGUCUCAGAAUUCCUGUUUAACACUAUUCCUGGUGAUUCUGACUUCACAAUUCAGAUUUUACCUGUGGCCUCUGACUUUGCAUGUCACACUCCCCUUGUUGUCUCUGUCAUCUCAUCUCACACUUCACAUGGUGACUCUGACUUCAUGUGUCGCACUACCCCUGGCAUAUCUGACUUCAUGUGUAACACACCCCUUGGAGUCUCUGAUUUCCUAUGUCUCAAUCUGCUUUUGUCUUGUACUUCCUGUGUAACACUAAAUGUGUGUAACACUCCCCCUGCUGUCUCUAACUUCAUGUGUAGCACUCCCCCUGGUAUCUCUGACUUUAUGUGUGACACUCCCCUUGGUGUCUCUGAAUUCUUGCAUCACUCUCUCAGUGGUCUCUCUGACUUUGUGUGUCACACACCUCAUGGCAUCUCUGAAUCAUGUCUGACAAUCACCCUCUCAUCUCUGAUUUUGAGUGUCACACUCCACCUGGCAUCUUUGACUCUGUGUGUAACACUCCCCAUGGUGUCUGUGACUUCAUGCAUAACACUCCCUGUGUCAUCUCUGACUUCGUGUGUCACACUCCCUGUGAUGUCUCUGAAGUUGUGUGUAACACUCCACCUGUCAUAUCUGACUUCUUGUGUAACUGUAACCAUGGUCUCUCUGAAAUCGUGUAACACUCCUCCUGUCGUCUAUGUCAUCGUGGAUAGCACUCCCCUGUGGGUCUAUUACUUCAUGUGUAACACUCAAUCUGGCUCCUCUGACAUCAUGCACAAGACUCCACCUGUCAUCUUGGACUUGGUGUGUAACACUACCACUGGUGUCCGUGACUUCUUGCAUAACCUUCACUCUCUCCACACUGUCUUCGUGUGUAACAGUCCCCCAGCAUCUCUGACUUUGUGUGUAAAAAUGCCCCUGUCGUCCCUGACUUCAUGUGUAAACUCCACAUGCCAUUUCUGCCUUCAUGUUAACCCUCCCCCAUGGCAUUUCAGACUUCAUGUGUAAC
rnacentral:lncRNA from 1 species